UCUAUCUAAAUUAAAACCCUCUUUAUCCACACUCCCUAACCCGGCACACUGGUCUGCUCCAAGAGCUCUUAAACAGGUGAUUGAGCUGCUUUCACUCUUUUGCUCCACAUCCUGCAAGAAGCAACCAGGACAGGUGGCAGUAAUACACCUGUAAGCUGGUUUGCCAACUACUAUCAAGCUCAGAAAAAUGAGAAGCAAGGAGGUGGAGGGCAAGUGUGGCUGUUCAAGUGGAGCAGUGUGAAUAGACAUGGCUGCUGUUUGAAGUGGACUGAAGUCGGAAGAGAGACACAAACUAAAGUAUCGAUCUGUGGAUCUGAUCCCAAUGUCGGCUUCACGUCAUCGAUGCUUAUAUCGAUCCGUCCAGCCUCAGCGGAAGCAGCAAUGAGUUCAGUUCAGUAUCUGAGAGAGUUCAUCAAGGAGAGACUAACUGCUGUUUGUGAAGAAAUCUUCUCAGAGGUUCAAAAAACCAUCGUCCAGUAUGAGGAGGAGAUACACCGUCAGCACAGACUGCUGGAUAUCAGCCGGAAACCCGACAGACUCACACAUCAUAGACCUCCCACAACAACAUGACUGUGAGGAAGAGGAGGGUCUGGAUAAGCAGCAGGUCUGUAACCAGGAGAGGAACUCCAGCCCAGACCAGGAGGAGCCAGAGCCUCCACAGGUUAAAGAUGAACAGGAGGAGCUUUGCAGCAGUCAGGAGAUAGAAGCUUGGAAUGAAGCAGGAGACUGAUAUUUUCAUGGACACUCCGACUUAUGAGGAAAGUUCCCACAGUGAACAAAAACUAAACAGUAAGCAGCUGCUUUCUCACAGCUCUCCUGAAGCAGAGAGCCGAGAUCAUGAAGAAAGCCAUCACGUGGACUCAGGAUCUACUAGAAAUACAAAGCUAAAGAAGAGGAGACAUCACAAUGAGGGAGUGGACAACACCCCUGUGUCAGAAAGUAAAACUGACACAAGGAAACAGUCUGUACAGUGUGACACCUGUGGAAAAACGUUUAACUUUAAAUCAAACCUUACUACACAUCUGAGAGUUCACACAGGUGAAAAACCAUAUCCUUGUAGCACCUGUGGGAAACAGUUCAAUCAGAAAUCAUCAUUGAAUACUCAUGUAAGAAUUCACACAGGUGAGAAGCCGUAUCCGUGUAACACCUGUGGGAAAAUAUUCAAUCAGCUGGCACACUUGAAAACUCAAACAAGAAUUCACACAGGAGAGAAGCCACAUUGUUGGGAAAAGAUUCAAUGAGAAAUCAACAUUAAAAACUCACGAGUGCACACUGGU